rnacentral:lncRNA from 1 species
CCCAUGGCAGAAAGCAGAUAGUAGAGUCACCUGUCAGCCCUCUCAGCUCUCAGACUGGAAGACAAGAAAGAUCUUAGAAGAGUUCAUUUGCUUUCCUUCAUACAGUGUGAAAGCCACCAAAGCAUGUCAGGGGUUUUGUUUGGUUGGUUUGGGAGUUUUUGUUGUUGUUGUUGUUACUGUUUUGUUUUUGUUGUUUUGAGUAUUUUGUUUUUGAGACAGGGUUUCUCAGUAUAGCCCUGGCUGUCCUGGAGCGCACAGCAUGUGGGUUUUAAUGGCAACUUUACACGACCGUCUGUGUCUAUUACCAGUGAGCGCAUCCCCAGCCACCCCACACCUGUGCAGCUGAGGAGGAAAGUCCCAUCAAUGAUGCUUCGAGCAACCAAGGGGAAGAGAAGGGCUUUUGUUUGUCUCUUCUUCUUAUGAAUAGCUUUUAAUGACUAACAUUAUUGUAAAAGCAGGUGUUGGCUUGCUGGUAAAUUCAGUGGCACUAAUUUCACAUGACUAAUAUGAUGAAUUACUGUAUCAAGAUCAGUACAGAUGUCUAUGAAGUCUAAGCUAUUUCUCCGGCUACACUAAGUUGAGGAUACAUUGUACUCUGUGUUAAUCAAAGGACUCUUUGUUCUGUGUGUUCCCUGUGUCUGCAUAAGGAAGCCUGUGCUUUGAUGGGAGAAGGAAUGUUCUAUUGUUUUUUGUUUUUUUUUUUUCAUUGUUACUUUACAUCUCUUUUAAUCUGAACUACUGGAUUGUCUGAAGAACUAAACGGAGCCUGUUAUUAACAUCUUUAAAGUGUUUAAUUUUAAUAAUUUUUCAUUGAAUUCAUGGAUUGUUAGGAUAAUGAAAUAUUUCUGAUAUGGAACAAAGGAAAUGAAACUGGUACUCAAUGAGGAAGCAGGUUGCUUGGACUAAACCAGGCAUGUUCAGUUUUGAGAAUUCUACCUAGAGGUCUCCUGCCCACAGAGAAACUAGUGUUACUUGAAGAUAUGAAAGUCCCUGUGGUAGCCAUGCCUUGAAGCACAGUGUUGUACAUAAGUAAAUACCUGAUUCUAAAUUAAAUCCAGAUCUACUAAUAUAUUAUUUUAUAACUUUGUUGUAUUAAAACGUUUUAAACACUAAAGAAUAAAGCAUUUGAAAGUUG